CCACUGCCCACUGAUGAGCAGAUUUGAGGGAGGCCCAGGGACUGUAGUGUGAGUAGUGAUAAGACAAAGUCACCCUCCACACUGUCACCCUCUAUAUUGUCACCCUCCAUGCUGUCGCCCUCCAGGAAGUCACCCUCCACACCAUCACAGGCACAUUCUCUUAAUCUUUUUUGGUGUUGUUUGUUUGUUUGUUUGUUUGUUUUUCAAGACAGGGUUUCUCUGUGUGGCCCUGGCUGUCUUGGAACUUGCUCUGCAAACCAGCGUGACCUUAAACUCAAGAGAUUCUCGGGUCUGCCUCAGCCUCCGGAGUUCUGGGAUUAAAGGUGCUGCACCACCACCACCUGGCACCUUAUAAUCUUUUAAGAACUGGACUCAGGAAAAAGAUGAGGUAUAACUGAAGGCUAUAACCGAGUGGUCUUCCUCCAUCUGCCACCAUACCAUCUCACCAAACUGCACGUACCAGCUGAAGUGUCGUGUGGGAAAUAUUUCAUGCUGAAACCAUAUCCAGGAUGCCAGCCUAUGGGAUGGUGCUGCCCACAAUUAGCGUGGGUCUCCCUACCUCAGCUAACCCAAUGGAGCAGCUCCCUCACGGACGUGUCCAGAGGUCUGUCUUCAAGGUGGCUUUAGACCUGCCAAGUUGACAGUAAAUACCAACCACCACACACAACAUUCACGUUCAUUCUUCGGUGGAACCUGCGCUUCUAAAGGUCAGACUUAUGUGCUUUAAAAUUAGACCAGAGCCUUGUCCAGUAUUCGCACAAUCACAGAGUUCUGCAAAAUCAUUUGCUGAACCUCGGCAAGGUUCAUAUGAGAGGCCACCUGAUGCUACAGCUUGCCCUUCUGAGUUAUUUUUCCCCACGAAGAGGGAGAAAAUGGUUCCAAGAUUGAUAAGGAAAAUAAUAUAAUGAGCUAUAAACUGAUUCCAGUACUCACUGAAGGCAUGUGGAGAACAAAGGAUUUCCAUGAAUUGCUGUUGGGUGUCUGAAGUGUUUCUGCUUCCUUGGAGAGCAGUUUGGCAGUUUCUAUUAAGAUGAAAAAAAAUUAUACAUUCCCUUAGACCUGUCAACUACAAAUUGUAGGAAUUUAUCCUAUAGAAACAAAAGUAACAAUGUAUUAAGCAUAUGUUAACAUGUUUUCUUUUAUUACAUUGUGAUAGCAAAGUAGUGGCGAAUAUAUGGAUGUCUAACCACAGUGAGACUGCUGAAUAUAUUGUGGUGUUUAAAGAUACUAUGAAAUCUUAUGCAG
rnacentral:lncRNA from 1 species